rnacentral:rRNA from 1 species
UACGAAGGGUGCAAGCGUUACUCGGAAUUACUGGGCGUAAAGCGUGCGUAGGUGGUUUGUUAAGUCUGAUGUGAAAGCCCUGGGCUCAACCUGGGAAUUGCAUUGGAUACUGGCAGGCUAGAGUGCGGUAGAGGGUAGUGGAAUUCCCGGUGUAGCAGUGAAAUGCGUAGAGAUCGGGAGGAACAUCUGUGGCGAAGGCAGGUCUCUGGGCCAUUACUGACACUGAGGAGCGAAAGCGUGGGGAGCGAACAGG